GAAAAUACAUGUAAGUGACUAUGAGGAUUUGUCGUUCACAUGUACAUAAUAGUUUAACCCUUUAGUGCAAGGAGACAACUAUAUACAUAUUGGGUGGGGGUUGGCAGGACAUAAGAGUUUAUUUUCCCAAUUUGUUUUCUUUUAGGUCAACCCAUGCAUUCAUGUAUGCAUCCUUAGGCUGAUAUUUGUACAAGUUCCGUUCUCCUGCACCCCUGCCCCCUUAAGAGGUUAAGGAAUUUCUCCGAACCACCACUACAGGAUCUGAAAUCAGGAGCCAAGGAUACCAUCGCUACUGUCAUUCUCAGGCUGGGGAGAGCCGGACUGACUGAGGUUUAUACCCACCACUAUGGCAAGGGGAUGAGAUGGCACUUGAAACAGAUUUCAUUUAGAUUGUUGAAGUCCAACCAGUUUAGUUGUUUUGAUCUCUAGAAGAAGAAAAAACAGGAAUCUUGAACAUCCCAAAAGGAGGAAUCUGAAUUAGUAAAUGGAACAUCCACACAUGCCCAUUAGGGAGAAAAAGAGAGUGAGAGAUGUUGUAAGUGAACUAAACCCUCAUACUCCAUAGCAGGAAAUGAACAGAUGAUAUAUCAAGUUAAUAAAAGACAGAGAUAAACUGGAAGUCUUUGGAAAUACGGAGAGUGGGGAGUCUCACUAUGUUGCCCAGCCUGGCCUUGAUCUCCUGGACUCAAGCAAUCCUCUCAGAGUAGCUGGGACUACAGGCAUAUACCACCAUACCUAGUUUGCCUAUUGAUAUUCUUCUUUACCCCUAAGAAGAUUGUAUGUGUUAAUCCAUAUGUCAAGCUUAUCCAGUGUGAUGAAACUGGCGAAUUCACACUGAAGAGAAACUUUGAAGGUAAUAAACAUCCUUGACUGAUAAAAAAUACGAAGGUGUUAAAAUAUAAAUAUGUGUUAAGUGGGUAUGUGCGUAUGAAUUUCUGUUUUUUUUUUUUUUGAGACAGAGUCUCCCUCUGUCACCCAGGCUGGAGUGCAGUGGCGUGAUCUCAGCUCCCUGCAAGCUCCACCUCCUGGGUUCACGCCAUUCUCCUGCCUCAGCCUCCCAAGUAGCUGGGACUACAGGCGCCCGCCACCACGCCAGGCUGAUUUUUUGUAUUUUUAGUAGAGACGGGGUUUCACAGUGUUAGCCAGGAUGGUCUCAAUCUCCUGACCUCGUGAUACGCCCACCUCAGCCUCCUAAAAUGCUGGGAUUAUAGGUGUGAGCCUCCAUGCCUGUCCUGAAUUUCUUAAUAAAUGCAGUUUUCAUGAAGGCAAAGUAUUUCAGAUAGUCUGGUAGGAAAGGAGAAAGAAAUACAAAAUAGGGUCUUAAAGUGUGCAAAGGUGGGAAACUGGAGCUGGGACUUUUCUGACCAACUAGGACAACCUGGGGCUUAGCUGAACUCUCCCCAGGCUCUGGGAAAGCAUCAUUGUUAUGGAUUUUCAGCUGUGAGGAGCUUGGUAUGAAAAUUCUGCUCCUCGAAUAAGCCUACAGCAUGAGUUAAAGAAAAAAAUGCAGUUCUAUCAAUACUAAACAUUUUAACAAGAUCUUCUUUAAGACAAAAAAUUUAAAUAACCCUCUUCUGCCUUUUCCCAUCAAAUUUCAAGUAUUUUCCAGGUGUUAAUGCAAUAGCAAAUUAGAACUCCUAGGGUUUGAGUGGGCAUUUUGACUUAAUUCUGGUGGAUAGAUUCUACAUGUUCCUUGAUUUUGCUUAAUUGAUGUUUGGAUAACCUGCAAGGAAUCCAUAGACUGUUUAUGGAAACAUUGAUUCUUGAUUUGAAAUCUGUUUGCUCAGCAGAUGGGACCAAAUUUAUCCAUCAGAGAAUCUUGCCUUCACACAAGAACUAGUAGUAUUCUUUCCUUACAGAGUUUGGCAGAGGAUUGGUGAAGAACAUGGCAGAAACAAUGGGACUCUCCUUGGAUAACGGUUCUUUGUGCUUUGCAAAUUCUCCAAUACGUGGAUAACCAAGUGGUUGUUGUUGUUUUUCUAGAAGUCUGAGAUUCACUGUCUAUGCCUCACUGUCUUCUUGAAACCAAAUGAGUUUAAGGACAGAAUAUACAUUUGGGUGAGAUAGGAAGCAGCUCAAAAAAGUGCUCACAUUCAAUCCCAUUAUUUUUCCUCCAUUAAUGUGAAAAAGACCUAUUUACAUCUUUGAUGACUUCUUAGAAGGCCAAUCCACCUUGGAGGUUAAAAGGUUUAAAAUUAGAGCUAACAUUUAUUGAGCAUGGGUUUUCCAGGGAUAUUUUUACUUUUAUAAAAAUUAAGGUAGAAGAGAACCCAUAAGCCAUAUUCACUAAAAAUUAUGCUACCGGUAUGGGGUAAGGGAGAAGUAUGCUCAGUUUAUAUUCCUGUGUUAAUAAAAUAAUUCCUUAAAUUCAGCAAAGCAAGAUGCACCCCGGCUUUCAAAGCAUCAGUGUUUGACUUUUCCUUCAAAUGGAGAUUUGUAGGAGAAAAUAUUACAGACAAUUCAAUGGCUACUGUGCCUGGUUUAAACACAGCACUAUGCUCACUCAAAUUUCUUUUAGACUAUAGACACAUGGGCCAGUGCUUAUUUUCAUGGUUGAUUUAAUCCAUCCCCUGUGCCAGUGUGGGGAUUAUUCCCUACAGUUAUUUUCCAGUGAUCUGUCAGUUCAGAUUAAAAAAAGUUAAGUGACAAAGAUGCAGUGGCUGAUUCCUUUAGAAGGCUGUGGAAGCUGGAGUAUACAGCAAGAGACUUCUUUUUAAGGAUCUGACUAUGUUCUCUCUUUAAUUUCUCUCACAUCGCCACGAAUCUUUCUUAUCUAGGCUGAACUUUAAACUUCCUAAACAGGCAAUUCAAUUUUGUUCAUAUACAACAAUUUCAGGGUUGCCAAAAAGGGUUUCCAGAUCUUACUUCUUUGGCUCUUGCUUAGUUUUUAAGAAGAGGAGAUAGCAUAUAUUUCCUCACUUUACAGAUGAAAUCUAAGACAUGAUUCUAGGACCACAUGGAUCCUAGCUUUGCUUGGGAUACACAAUAAAUGAUAAUACUGUCUCUUAAGCUACAUCUCUUUUUAUAUUUUGAGAUAUAGGAUUAAAAAUAUACCUUUGCCAGAUUUGUAAUUCUGUUCCAGAUUCUUUGAGAAGAAACCUGCAAUAAAAUGAUUUUAAUUGUAUAGCAAAAUGUUACUCGUGUUAAUGCUAAAAGUUACUCAUAUCAUAAAUAUUAUUAUUAUUCUCACUCUUAUUUUCUCUUUCCAUCUCUACAAUAGAAUUCUUUAGUAGGAUUAUGAAGAUACUGGGUGAGUAAUUUGGUUAUUUUGUAUUGAUGUGCAAAUUAGUCAUUCAAUUCACGCAUUCAUUUUAAAGGCUUUCAUAUGUACUAAGCUAAAAAGAACGCAACUGACAGUUUUAACAAAAUAAUUACAUUAAUUCUACACUCUGCUGCGAGAAAAGGGUCAUCAAAAAUAGAAUCCUAAGAAAAUUCAUAAAAAGCAAUACAAUACUGGACUAUUAAUGGGGCUAGGAUGUAAUAUGGUUGCAUCAUCUAUAUGAUUACAAGUGUUUUCUGCAAAUGUCUCAUGGAUUUCUGCCAGGAUGGUUGGUCUUGCUUAUGAGAAGUAAAAUAGUAUUAUUUUUACUUUGUCUACUGCAAUGUGGACAAAAGGGGCAAAUAGAAAUGGAUCAGUCAGGAUAGGCUAGGUUAUGCUGCGAUAACAAGCAACCUCAACAUCCCAGUACAGUUUACUUCUUUACGUGUCCUAAAUCAUCAGGGGGCUCAGCUCAUUGUAGUCACUUAGGUGGCCAAGCUGGUGGAGCACCUACUAUCUUGAACAUUACCAGAAGGAAAGAGAGCUUUUGAGAGUGAGAAUUGAAUGCUCUGGGCCAGAAGUAGCCCCCAUCACUUUCUCUUGAAACUCACUGGCCAGCACUGGUCACGUGGCACCACUUGAAUGCAAGGAGACCAGGAAGUGCCAAAGUGUCAACUCUCAGAGAGCGGGAGAGCCAGGGAAGUUUGGGGAACUACAUUAGUGACCUCCACAAAGGUCUCACUCUGCCCCUCAGAUGGUUUCCAUAUUUAUCACUUCCUUUCCAUUUUCAUUUCCCUUUGUUUAACCUCAUUUUGUCUUGUCUGCAUCACUGCAAGAGCCUUUUUUUUUUCUUUUUUUUUUUUUGAGAUGUAGUUUUGCUCUUGUCCCCAGGCUGGAGUGCAGUUGCGCUAUCUUGGCUCACUGCAAGCUCCGCCUCCAGGGUCUAAGCAAUUCUCCUGCCUCAGCCUCCCAAGUAGCUGGGAUUACAGGCACCCACGACCAGGCCUGGCUAAUUUUUGUAUUUUUAGUAGAGAUGAGGUUUCACCAUGUUGGCCAGGCUGGUCUUGAAUUCUUGACCUCAGGUGAUCACCUGCCUCAGCCUCCCAAAGUGCUAGGAUUACAGGUGUGAGCCACCUUGCCUGGCGGUGCAAGGGCCUUUUAACUGACCUCUAAUCUCUUGCCUUCCUCACUCUCUCUCUCUCAUUUAUUAAAUUAACUAAUGUUAUCAAGCCAUUUGCCAAGUGCCCAUCUGCCACCAGAAUUAUCUUUGUAAAACACAGAUAGGAUUAUCGUAUUAAUUUUUUUAAAGAAGGGAAUAUGAUAUCUCUCAGCCCAAGGAAUUAAACCAUAGUGCUCAGCCCAAUAUUAGAGAAUGAGGGGGGGCACUUUGACUUCAACCCACUUUUCUAGAGACACUCUGACCUCUUCUGAGAACCUCACUUCUAGUCCAGAGGUAGAAGCUGAUGGUGCAUGGCCAUCCACAGCCAGCAGACGGGGAUGUCCCACUUCCACACAUAGAAACAGGGCUUGAAAAAAGUUUGAAUGGGUUGACAAGACUAAAAAAUCAGGAGAGCCUCCAUAAAAUAUGUAUUGUCCAUUUUUCUUAAAGACAAAACAAAACACAACCCCACAUCCAGAAGGUCUGGCAACAUGACCCUGCAUGGGGACUGGAGCUGAGUGCAGCUGUCCUCUUGCUGGGAUCCAUGGCAGCCAGAAUGAACUGCCCCCUCUCCUGAAAUUCUAUGAGGGGACAUCCUGUUGUGCAUUGCACCACAAUUAAUGUGUCCCUGGAUGGUUCUUUUACCAACUAGCUCCCUAAAGAAGGUAACCAUUUUUAUGCAGGACUUUUUUUUUUUUUUUAAAUCUUCCUGUCUUCUCUCUCAGCAACCUGCAUAUAGCAGAUGUUCACUAAAUAAUUAGGAAUUAUAAUUGUAGGGAGCUGUAAUUUGAUUGGCCACUUGAUGACUUCAGCUUAUUCUUCCUACCUAACAUGUAUCAUGUGCUUGCUUUGGUUAAGUUCACAAAAGUAGAGAUACCACUGGAGAAUUUCUGAGGUUCCCAAGAUCCACUGCUCAGGGUUCUAGGAGACUACCUAUAAAUCAUGUGACCUCUGAGCCUGCAAUGGAGCUGCAGUUAAUUUGGGGGAAUGGUAUAGAUUUAUUUUUCUAAAAAAUCAAAUUCUUGUGUUCCUUUCUUGAAAAUAUAUAACUGUACAGGCCAAGGCAGCCAUCUGGAUGCAUCUGGAGCCAUAUCCUAAAAAUUCUGUAAAAUAAUUUUGUUUAUGAACUAACAACUUAUUAAAGGAAGUGAAUGAACACCACCUAAGAAUCCAGGAUUUGAAGGUGUGCUAUAGGAAUUCAAUAGGAAAUAUGUAUAUGAAAUGUGGUUAAAGAGGAAAUGACAAGCUUGGAGAGCCCUGAAAGGUUAUCUGGAUAAACAGAAAAGUACUGCAGGGAAUUUCAGACCCUUCUAAAGUUCAUCCAGAGACACCUAUCCACCUGAUGACUGACAGCAUCUGCGGGGGACCAGGCUACAGGUCCGGGUGAAGGGCAUCUGUCCCUGAAACAUAUGGCCCUUCCUGGCAUCCAUUGAUGGGGAGAGGCACCAUGUAUUUAUUGAGAGCCUACUAUGUUCCAGGCAACCAGUGAUGACUUCCAAGCCAACGUGGACUAUGAAAGAGGGAUCCACUUUAGAAAGGAC
rnacentral:lncRNA from 10 species